CCCCUCUCAGGAUUGCACCUGGAGGAUUUCCAGUAGUCUACCAGUGUCGGCUAUGGCAGGGAGAGUUAAGCAGAGGCCUAGCCGUUCCAUUCCUAGCUUGGCCAGUGGCUAGCGAGUGAAAGGCAAUCUGCUACAAGG
rfam:Ornithorhynchus anatinus chromosome 2, whole genome shotgun sequence.